rnacentral:rRNA from 1 species
UACGUAGGGAGCAAGCGUUGUCCGGAAUCAUUGGGCGUAAAGCGCGCGUAGGUGGCCUCAUAAGUCCGCUGUGAAAGUCCAAGGCUCAACCUUGGAAAGCCGGUGGAUACUGUGAGGCUAGAGUACGGAAGAGGCGAGUGGAAUUCCUGGUGUAGCGGUGAAAUGCGCAGAUAUCAGGAGGAACACCUAUUGCGAAGGCAGCUCGCUGGGACGUAACUGACGCUGAGACGCGAAAGCGUGGGGAGCAAACAGG